AACCAUUCUCACCUGCGGCUAGACCUGCGGAAGGAUCAUUAACGAGUUGCAAAACUCCCCAAACCAUUGUGAACCUACCUAUACCGUUUCUUCGGCGGGCGGCUCGCGCCCUAACCUGCCCUCUCUCUUAGGGAGGCGGACCCGCCGGAGGCUCUUAAACUCUUAGCUUUAGUUGGUAUCUCUGAGUACGAUUUUAAAUAAGUCAAAACUUUUAACAAUGGAUCUCAGAUCGGAAGAGCA
rnacentral:misc_RNA from 1 species